rnacentral:rRNA from 1 species
CCCUUAGAUGUUCUGGGCCGCACGCGUGCUACACUGAGUGGAUCAGCGGGUCAGGUUGCGCGAAAGCGUUUCCUAAUCUUUAAAUCCGCUCGUGAUGGGGAUUGACGGUUGCAAUUUUCUGUCAUGAACGAGGAAUACCUUGUAAGCGCGGGUCAUCAUCCCGCGCUGAAUACGUCCCUGCCAUUUGUACACACCGCCCGUCGCUCCUACCGAUUGAGUGGUCCGGUGAGGCUUUGGGAUCUGAGCGGAAAGAGCGUUUCGCUGUUUCUGCUCGGAAAACUCAGUCGAACCUUAUCAUUUAGAGGAAGGAGAAGUCGUAACA